CUUUUAAAAACUGUAGUGUUGCGGAGACACGUGUACACAUGCACUACUAUCUGUACACAGCAAACGCCUCAACUCGAAAUGAACGGAGCCCUUUGUAAAUGAAACAAAACAAGAACAACAAAAACACAACAAGUCAUUUUCAACGCGAGGAGCAUUGUUAAUUUUGUUUGGUGUAUUAGACAUUUCCCUCCUUAAAUCUUAAAAAGGCACUGACGCGCCCUUCACAAGAAACAUUUCCUUUUUUUUGUAAGGUUUCUCUCUUUUUUUUUUCCUUUUCUCUCUGUUCCUCUAAUGCUUUUCAAAAACACUGUUCGACUGUUCAGAUCCAGUCUGCACCAGUACACAAGAAAUACAGACCGCUGAAAAGACGCGCACACACACACACACACACACACACACACACACGAGGACAGGAAAAGAAAAACAUGCGCAAGACAAACUGUACAGGAACUGGAAGUGUGGGGUAUGAGGGAAGUGGACGGUGCAGAGAGGAGCUGUGUAGUGUGUGUAUGUGUGUGUGUGUGUGUGUGUGUGUGUGUGUCAGUGGGGUGGCAAUAUCAUGUGGGAUUUAAGUCAUGAUACACUGGGAGGCUGGAAGGUGUUUGCAUGUGGUCGAUUGCAUUCGUCUGGCAUCAAGCCACAUACUGUACUCCAGUGGCCACCAUUGGGCUCUUGCAGUGAGUGCACUGCAUUCCACCCUUUUCAAUGGCUCUACUUUCAAACGAGCACAAACACAGACAGCCAAAAGCAGAUGUGCCACACAAGUCUCUCGUCCCCAUACGGUUAAGAUCACAAAGACCUUUUCACAUCAUACAAUCCAGGACGAGUCACUGGCAAGUGCUAUGACCGAUUACUAUGGGUUAGAAGAACAAGUUAAGUGUCACUUAACUCAACAUGAGGAUAUGAAAAAGUCUGACAGCAGAAAUAUGCGGGGUGUGCGUCUGUACGACACAGACGUACGUAGGUUCUCACCCAUUCAUGGUGGGGAAGGAGGUAAGAGACAC
ensembl:lncRNA